rnacentral:lncRNA from 1 species
GGGCGCAGGCCCGGGAUAGGAGGCAGAGCGCAAGGGGCGGGGGUGGCGUGGAGGGGGUGCCUGCCGGCGGUCAACCCCGCUGUAGCGGGGUUGUCAUGUCUCGCCAGACGAAGGAUGACUUUCUACGGCAUUAUACGGUCUCCGACCCCAGGACCCAUGCCAAGGGCUACACCGAGUACAAAGUAACCGCGCAGGUGAGGUGGGGCCCAGCGGGGACCUUACCCUUUUAAGUAGCCAGGGGGUUGUGCUUUACCUUAAGGGAAGGCGCUGUAGGAAGCUCCUUUUUUAGACGACAGAAAUGGGUUUCCCCUUUAAGGAAAGCCUGUGGUGGGCGCUGACGUUGACUUCUUUCACCAUCGGGGGCGGGGCCGUGGAAGGGCGUGGUCCUCUUUAAAAGGGCGUGGACACAGUUCCCGGACUUGUGAGGUGCGUGUGCCCACGCCCGACGCUUGCAGCCUGUGCCUCCGUCUGUGAGAUUCUCAGACGUGAAAACUCUGGCUUAACCCAAACGUUAGUUAGUUUCCCAAUUUGGGGGUAAGUUUCAUUUAUUGGUUUGUUGGAUACCUAAAAACCCUUUAAAGAGUUUAUUUCUUAAAAAAAUUAAUACAGGUCUAUGGUUUAAAAAAUUCACAAUUCAAAAGGACUUGAAUCUUCACGGUCAUCGCAGGAAGAGGAUAGGUAAAGGCCAUAGUGGAUGUUGGAAGCAAUAUUAUAAGCACAUUUUAUAGAGACAUGGAGAAAACCAUGAAAAGAAUUUAAGAUAAAACGGCAUAAGAGACUGCCUGUAGAAUGAUUUGUAAGAACCGGUAAUAAUGGAGACCUCCAGGGAAAGUCUCUGGGGAAGGGGGUUGAGGAAGGACUUUUUUAGUGGGUUUUUUUGUUUGUUUUGUUUUGUUUUUUGCUAGGGAUUGAACCCAGGGGCAACACUCUAACACUGAGCUACAUCUCCAGCCCUUUUUAUUUUGAGAAAGGGCCUCACUAAAUUGCUGAGGCUGGCCUUGAACUUGUGAUCCACCUGCCUCAGCCUCCUGAGUCAGACGUGUGUCACAGCAUCCAGUUUAGCGUUCGUAUUUUAUACUCUUAGAAUUUUGGCAACAGGCAACUACUAAAUGCAGAAUCCUAGAUGUUUUUAAAAUAUGCUUUCCCCAAAUCUUUUAUGUCAUUCCCAUGCCAAAAAACUACAAAUAAAGAGAUUGCCCCUGGUAGAUGGGCAGGAGGGGUAGGGGGGUAGAAAGGAUGUGGCCUUCUUCUGCAACCUUUGCCUACAUGCCUCCUACUGACUUUUUAAACCAAGUAACAUUUAUUAUUUGAGAUAGUUGGGAUGGGUCUAUAGUUUUUUGUGGAUUGGGGUGUUUUUGUUUUGUGCUUUCCAGUAAUGCAGAUUGACCCCAGGACAUUGUGUGUGCUAGACAAGCCCUCUGUCAUCAAGCUACAUCUCCAACCCUACUUUGAUAUAUUUUUAUAAAUAUAUCAAAAAAAUCUUUUAUAAAGAUAAAUUUUGCCUACUUGCUAUCCCCAUGUCUCUGUUGCUACCAGUUUGUUGAUCCUUGAAAAUAACUACAUUUACAAGCAAAUUAACGUGUCUACUUUAGUAGUAUUAUUUACACACAAUGGAGUUGCGCUUCUGACUCUUUUUGCUUACUGGUGUUUCUAAGUGAGUUUUUGUGUUUUAUUUUACUUUAAAAUUUUUUAAGAUUGCAAAUAAAAGCAUUCUGACUCAUUUUUAUUAUCAAAAAAAAUAUUAAAUUGAGACACAGUUUACAUAAAUGAGCUCAGUCUUCAAUGUACAGCCUAAUCAAAUUUCACUAAAAGUAUAAUGUGUGCAAACACCACUCAGAUGGAGAGAGACAUUUUCAUGACUCCAGAAAAUUUCUUUUCAUCUCUCCAAUCACUGGUCACCCUCUCGAAGAGAUCACUAUACUCAUCUGAUUUCUGUCACCAUUGAUGAAUUUGGUUUGUUCUUGAAUCUCAUAUGAAUGAAGCAAUGAAACAAAUAUUCUUUUGUGUUUGACUUUUUUAACUCAACAUAAUAUUUUUGGAAUUCGUCCAGGGCUUUGCACAUGCUGAUCAAGUGUUCUACCAAGUUAAAUCCCUGCCUUUUUUAUUUUUUUGGUACCAGGGGAUGAACCCGGGGCGCUUGAGCACUGAACCACAUCCUCAGUCCUUUUUAUUGUUUAUUUUGAGACAUAGCUGGCCUUGAGCUUAUGAUUCUUCUCCCUCAGCCUCCUCAGUCACGGGAAUUAUAAGCAUGCACCACGACACACGGCCCCAGCCCUUUUUAUAUUUUGAGACAGUGUCUCCCUAAAUUGCUGAGGCUAGCCUCAAACUUUCAAUCCUCCUGCCUCAGCCUCUUGAGUCAAAAGGAUUACAGGUGUGCAUCACUACACCUGGCUCACCAUUUCUUUAUUACUUAUGUUGAAUAUUUUGUUUUUUUCUUAAACGUUUUUUUAGUUGUUAAAUUGUAUGAACUCUCAUGUACAAAAUUUUUUUCUGGACAUAUCUGCUCAUUUCUCUUUGGGAUACACAUAGGAAUGGUACUGCUGGCGUGUAAGAUAGGUAUACGUCUAGCUUUACUAGAAAUUGCCAGAAAGUUUUCCAAAGUAGUUGCCCAUGUCAUGCAUCCCUUAUCACCUGCACUGGAAAUCAACAGGAUCUUUAAUUUUAGUUAUUCUUGGUAUGUAUUUGGAGUAUUAAUUUGCAUUUCUCUAAUGAGUUGAUAUUGAGCACAUUCUCAUAAUAAUCUUACAGGUCUUUUUUGUGGGAGGUGCCUGUUCAAGUAUUUUGCUCACUUUUUUCAAGCUAAUUUUGCCAUAUUUAUUCAUACCAAAUCACACUGUGUUGACAGGUAAUGAUUGAAUACAGAUACAGGCUGUCAGGAAAAGGGGAGGAGAAAGGGAGCCCUUAAAAUAGGGGGUGGGGUUGCGGCUCAGUGGUGGGGCGCUUGGCUGUGUGUGCAAGCUGUGAGCAUUUUGAGCGCUUGAGCUGACUGGACUGUGUGUACGUGUGUGUCCUUUUCACUAGCUCUGCCUUUUGAUCCCACUCAGCACCUGAGAUGGGCGUGGACUUCCAAGAUGUAAGUUAAUCUGCUGACCAUAAGACAUCUGGAAGCUAGACUCCACCCCCUGAAACCUAACCCCCCACACCAUUGGGGUGGAAAAAGGGGCUUUAGAAGUCCUCCUUCUCUUUCUCUCUCUCUCUUUUUUUUUUUUUGUGUGUGUGUGUGUGGUGCUGGGGAUUGAACCCAUGGCCUUGUACAUGCGAGGCAAGUACUCUACCAACUGAGCUAUAUCCCCAGCCCCCUCUCUUUCUUUAUUUCUGCCUCCCUAGUGGGAGCUGGAGCUGGGGAGCCAUCGCUGAAGAAUCACGAGAAAGAGGUAUUUUCCCUCUAGGUGUGGUUACUUCGUGCCAGCCCACAUUCACCUGGAGUGAACCUGAACGACUGACUUAGUUGUGUGUUGUGGCAACUGGGUUUCAUUCUCAGCCCUGCAUAUAAAUAAAUAAAAUAAAGGUUCAUCAACAGCUAAAAAAAAUUUUUUUUAAUAGGAUAAAAUGGCUGGGUAUGGUGGCACAUGUCUGUAAUUUCAGCAGCUCCGGAGGCUGAGGCAGGAGGAUCACAAAUUCUAAGCCAGCCUCAGCAACUUGGCCAGGGACUGAGCAACUUAUCAAAACCCUCUCUCUAAAUAAAAUGUAUAAAAUAAAAAGGAUGGGAUAUGACUCAGUGGUUAAGUGUUCAAUCCCUGAUACCCCCCCCCCCACAAAAAAAGGAUUAGGGCUCAGUGGUAGAACACUUGCCUAGCACAUGUGAGGCACUGGGUUCGAUUCUCAGCACCACAUAUAAGCAAAUAAGUGAAAUAAAGGUCCAUCAACAACUAAAAAAAAUUAAAAAACAACAACAACAACAAAAAAAAGAUUAAACACCAGGCCUUCUGAAAAGCAAUAAGGAGCCUCUUUCCAGAGGCUGCUCUCAGGUGACACUCAUGGAACUGCUGCAUCUUUAAAUUAAAGUCCUACAUUAAAUACGAAUUAUGUCAAAGUCACAUUUCUGAGUACCAUCCUUUGAGAAUGACUCCCACCAGGGAGGCAGAAAUAAAGAGAGGGAGGACAUUCUAAAGUCCCUUUUUCCUCCCCAAGUUCGUGGUCUUAAAGCAGCUUUCACAUGUUGUUAGUUAUCUUCUGAACUGUGAGACAGGUACUCUUUUCUCAACUAUUGAUGUGGAAACUGAGGCUUACAGAUAUUAAGUGACUUGGCCAUAUUUUGCUCAUUUUUUAAAAAUUGAGUUGUCUUAACAUUGAUUUUGUAGAGGGCCUUUAUAUUUUCUGGAUUUGAGUCCUUUAUCAGGUAUAUAUUCCUAUUUUUUUGGGGGGGGGGUACUAAGGAUUGAACCCAGGGGGUAUCCCUCAAGGGUUUUUAAAUAUGGGCUUUGGGUUUGGUUUGGUUUUGCCAUGUUUUAGGCAGGUCAGUUGUCAGAAGCCAAGGCCCGGUUUUCGUCUCAGCGCUCCCUUGCAGGCCAUCCCCCUCUCUGAGCCUCCAUGAUUUCAUCUUUUAAAUAGCAUGUCAAUGUGCCCCACUGCGAUCUAGGAGAAGGAAUAAGAAGCGUUUUAAAAACCGUCAGGUGCUGGGCUGGGGCUGGGCUCAGAGGAGGAGCACUCACCUAGCAUGCAUGAGGCACUCGGUUCGAUCCUCAGCACCCCAUAAAAAUAAAAGGUAUCAAGGGAAAAAAAACCUGUCAAGUGCUGCAAACUGUGGGACAUUAUUUUUAAAUGAUUAUGAACAUAACUUAAAACUGAAUCUUCUUGUCAGCUCAGACCCAACUCUGCACUUCGAGGGUCACCAGCCUCAGAGGUGGCUUCUUCUGUGACUGGGGGUGUUGGAACGCAGAGGAUGGGACUGGCUCCUGGCACACACAUCUCCCUCCCUCCCUCCCUCCCUCCCUCCCUCCCUUCCUCCCUUCCUUCCUUCCUUCCUUCCUUCCUUCCUUCCUUUCGGUCUCCUUUUUCAAUGCUGGGGAUUGAACCUAGGGCCAGGUGCAAGCUAGGCGGGCGCUAUUACCACUGAUCUACAUCCCCAGCCCUUUUAAGAUUUUUUUUCUUUUAGAGACAGGGUCUCCCUAAGUUGCCCAGGCUGGCUUUGAACUUGGGAUCCUCCUGCUUCAGCUGCCCCAGUGGCUGGGAUUAUAGGACGUGCCACCACAUUCAGCACAGCCUCAUUUCUUCAGAGGUUCGGGGUUCUUUGGUUUCGGGAGAUACAGAGACUUGGCCUCUGAAGGCACAGGUUGAGAGCUGAACAGAGGAUGGUGCAGUCUGGAGAGGCUUUAGGGAUCCUCCCAUUUGAAGGAUGAAGGAACUAAGGCAUGCAGAAGAAAAAUUGCUCAAAAUUACACUAAAGCCUUAACUUCAGGAUGCCUUAGUGGCUGAAGGACAUCUCCCUUUGAGGAGGACUGAGAGGUCCCUGGUGCCUCCUCAGCUGCUACAGUUUGGUGGGGUGUCAGAUGUCUGUCUCUCAUCUCAUGUGGUUCUUGCCUUUACUUUCUCAGUUCAUCUCAAAAAAGGACCCAGAGGAUGUCAAAGAGGUGAGAAUCGGGGGUGGCAGGGGGACCGUUCCCCAAUUCCCCAGUUCCAGAUCUGGAAGCAGUAGGGUUAUAGAUAACUGUGAGGAGCUGGGCCCUUCCUCCCUGGCCCCUAGUGGUUGGGAUGCUGUCUUCUCCUCACAGGCCCUGGGGCAGACUGGGUGGGGGGAAGGCUACUGCCCACCUUGCUGGCCAGGUUAAGUCUCAUGCCCCUCCUAGGUGGUGGUCUGGAAGCGGUACAGUGACUUCCGCAAGCUGCAUGGGGACCUGGCCUACACCCACCGCAACCUCUUCCGCCGCCUGGAGGAGUUCCCAUCCUUCCCCCGUGCCCAGGUGUUUGGUGAGUGUCAGAUCUGAGCUCUCGGCCCAGGACAGGAGAGUUGGGCAAAGGGGGCCAUUGGCCCUUGGCUGGGCGAUGGCUAGAGAGAUGGGGCCCAGAACUAUAGGCAAAGACAUUUGGAGAGCUGGGUGGAUCCUCUGAAGGGAAAUGGAGGCUCAGAGAAGCCUAGCCCUUGUUGUGAGUUGGGCCCUUUAACAUUCCUACCCCCCUCUCUCUCUCUCUCUCUCUCUCUCUCUCUCUCUCUCUCUCGCUCUCUCUCUCUCUUUUUUUUUGUACUGGGGAUUAAACCCCAGAGAGCCUUACCACUGAGCUACAUCCCCAGCCCUUUGUAUUUUUUAUUUUGAGACAGAAUCUUUCUUAGUUGCCAAGGCUAUCGUCAAAUUUGCAAUUCUCCUGCCUCAGCCUCCCAUAUCACUAGGAUUGCAAGUGUGUGCCACCAUGCCAGAACAUUCCCAUCUUUAUUACCCCUACUUUCAUGAUGAGGAAUCUGAGGUUCAGUGAGGUAAAGGGUCUUGGUCUGUGUCUUAGUUUGUUUCCUGUUGCUAAUAGACACAAUACAACAGACUAGGCAAAUAAUUAACAGAAGAGGUUUAUAUGUCAGGUGUGGUGGGCAGUGCCUGUAAUUCCAGUGACUAAUAGGCUGAGGCAGGAGGAUCACAAGUUCAAGGCCAGUCUGGGCAACUUAGGGAGACCUUAAGCAACUUAGCAAGAGCCUGUCCCAAAAUAAAAAUAUUUUAUUUUAUUUUAUUUAUAUUUUUUAAAGAGAGAGAGAAUUUUUUUUUUAAUAUUUAUUUUUCAGUUUUUGGCGGACACAACAUCUUUGUUUGUAUGUGGUGCUGAGGAUCGAACCCGGGCCGCACGCAUGCCAGGCGAGCGCGCUACCGCUUGAGCCACAUCUCCAGCCAAAAUAAAAAUAUUUUAAAAGGGCUGGGAUGCAGCUUGGUAGUAAAGCACCCCCAGGUUCAAUUGCCAGUACCACAAAGGGAGGAAAAAAGUUUACUUUGGCUCAUAGUUAUGGCAGAAGAUUUAGAGGCCACAUCUGGUGAUGGCCUUCUUGCUGGCAGAGUCCCCAGGAAGCAUGGGGCCUCACAUGGCAAGAGACAGGGACCUUGGCAGACACCUAGCCAAACUUUUUUUUUUUUUUUUUAAGCGCUGGGGAUUAAACCCAGGGCUUUGUGUAUGCAAGGCAGGCAAUCUGCCAAUCAAGCUAUAUCCCCAUCCCACAAACUCACUCUUGAGAUAACCCAUUUACCCAUUAACCCACGGAUCACAUGAGUCCCCAGACUCACAUGAGAUAUUCUUUGUAUGUGUGUGUGUGUGUGGUGCUGGGGAUGGAACCCAGGGCCUUGUGCAUGCAAGGCAAGCACUCUACUAACAGACCUAUGUCCCCAGCCCACAAGGUGAAGGAUGCUGUUACUUGCUACCACAGGAAUACAUCAGGCUGCUCCCUCUAGCAACAUAAUAACUUUAGAUAAAUUUUAAUAAUAUCUAUACCAGCAGUGAGACUGCUGCUUGCUGUGUGACCUUGGGCAUAGCACAUCUCUGAGCCUUACUUUCCUCUUUAUUAUAUCACAUCCAUCUGAAAUGACUUUGUUUCUUGUUGAUUACCUUCCUUCCCCAUUACAGUGUCACAUCCUUGAGAGCGGAGACUUUGUUUCUCUCAUCCGUCUUGAACCCAGCAUAGAGCAGGUGUUUAGUUAAACAUCUGGGGUGCAGUGGUGCACACCUGUGAUGCCAGCUACUUGGGAGCCUGAGGCAGGAGGGAUUGCAAGUUUGAAGACUUUUGUUGUUGAUGAUACUGGGAUUGAACUCAGGGACUUGUGCAUGGUAGGCAAGCACUCUACCACUGAACCACAUCCCCAGCCCAGAAUCAAAAGUUUGUGGGCAACUCAGCAAGACCAUCUCUCAAAGUAAAAUUUUUUUACAAAGGGCUGGGAUGUAGCUCAGUGGUAGAGCACCUGCCCAGAAUGCACAAGUCCCUGGGAUAGAUCACCAGCAUUGACAGGAAAAAAAAAAAGAAUGAAUAGGGCCAGGUGUGGUGGUGCACACCUAUAAUCCCAGCAUCUUGGGAGGCUGAGGCAGGAGGAUCCAGUGUUCAAAGCCAGCCUCAGUAAUUUAGCAAGGCCCUAAACAACUCAGUGAGAUCCUGUCUCUAAUGAAAUAUAAAAAGAGCAGGUAUGUGGCUUGGUGGUUAAGCACCCCUGGGUCCAGUCCCCUGUACCAAAAAAAAAAAAAUAAGAAGAAAUAAAGAAUGAGUAGGGAGAUUGAGCCCUGCAGGAGGCAUCUGGAGAGAUUGCUGGGAGGUUGGGAGGAGGCCAGUAGGCUGCUCAGAGCCUCAGGCAGAGCCAGGAACAGUGGGCCUUGGUGUUAGAAGCCUCUGAGGUCACUGCUCUCCCGCUCCCUUGUCCUGGGACCUCAGGCCGGUUUGAAGCCUCUGUGAUCGAGGAGCGGAGAAAGGGGGCCGAAGAGCUGCUUCGCUUCACCGUGCACAUCCCUGCACUCAACAACAGCCCCCAGCUCAAGGAGUUCUUCCGGGUAUGUGCACCUGCCCUUCCUACCACCCCAGCACCUGGAAAGCUUACCUGCCCACCAAGCUACACUCCCUCUGUUGGUCUUUCUGCAGGGUGGGGAGGUGACACGGCCCUGCGAAGUGUCCAGAGACCUGCACAUUCUACCACCCCCUCUGAUCCCCACACCACCCCCUGAUGAGCCUCGGUUGCCCCAGCCACUUCCUGCAGAAAGGAGGGGCCUAGAGGAGUUGGAGGUGUCAGGUACAUGAGAAUGGGGGGAGGAAGCCAGAAUUGGGGGACAGGAAGGCAGGGCUCCACACUCCUAUCCCUACCUGUGAUCAUAGUGACAACCCUGUCGUGUCCCGUGCACCUGCUGAGGUCUUUGGAUAGGUCAUUUCCUGUCUUUAGUUUCAGUUUCUUAAUCUGUAAAAUGGGCACAGACCCUGAUGAUGGGCUUGUCUAGGCCUAUUGCUGCAAGGACUUACUGAGAGGAUCAUCCCAUUUUGAACUCUGGCGAGUGGUUUAUGUGCAGGUGUUAAUAUCCCAAUGGUCUGUCCUCAGCGGACCCCCCGCCGUCCAGCCCUGCCCAGGAGGCUCUGGAUCUUCUCUUCAACUGUGGCAGCACAGAGGAGGCAUCCGGCUCCCCUGCCCAGGGCCCUCUCUCUGAGGCUGAGCUUGCUCUCUUUGACCCCUUCUCCAAGGAAGGUAAGGAGCAGGGGCAGGCAGGGCAGGGGUUGCAGUAGCAGGUCCUUGGGGGCAAAAGAGGAGGCAGGACCACCAGCCAGCUGUUUGCAACUGUGUAAAUCUGAGCAAGUUGUCCCUGUACAGUGAGCAACCAUUGGGGAAGGAGAUGAGCCAUUUCUCCCUAUGAAAGCUUGGAAGAGCAGGGUCACAUUGCUCUGGAAGGUUUUAGCCUGUCCUGCAAGUCCAAGGUGGGGCUUCCUGGCUGGCUCAGGGUCCCCUGCAGAUCCUGGAGGUAGGAGAAGCCUGUCAGUGGGCUCAAAGAGCAGCAGCCAAGGGAAGCCACUGUGCCUUGGAGGCCACCAGAAGCAGAUGAGCUCCCCACAUGGGGCAGGGUCCUGAGCACUUUCCUGCUCUGAGACCAGGAACAUGAUAGUUCCCAACAGUGAGACACUGGGUUUUUCAUUCAGAAAUUCUCCAAGCUUCUGCUGUAACUGCAACCCAGGUGUUAAAGUGGUCAAUCUCACUUUGGGAUGAUCGUGAAACAGUUUCUCUUUUUAUUCCUUAGGAGUGUUUUUUUUUUUUUAAAUAUUUAUUUAUUUAUUUUAGUUUUUGGCGGACACAACAUCUUUGUUUGUAUGUGGUGCUGAGGAUCGAACCCGGGCCGCAGGCACACCAGGCGAGCGCGCUACCGCUUGAGCCACAUCCCUAGCCCCCCUUAGGAGUGUUUUUAAGCUGGUUUUGUUGGCCCUCCUUGUUUGCCCUUUGGUGGCCUUGAGGGCUGACCCCCCACCUUCUGAUGAGUUUCAGGCAUCUGAGGCCCAGCCUAGGAGAGGAAACAGCCUAGGCCAGCCUGUGUCAGCUCCCAUCUAGCUGUCAGCCUCACCUUCCCCCUGGCUCAGGCCAGUGGCCAGUGGCCAGUGGCCAGGCCAGCAAGUGACAAGGGUGUGAGGAGCUUGCUUUUGCUUGUUCUUCUUCCACACCUCCAAGGUUGGGGAAGGGGGAGAAUGGAUUGGGGGACAGAAGUGGUGGUAUCACCGGGGAUGUUGUACCAUCCUCUGAGUGGCAGGCACCCAGAUUCCCUGGCCCAGCUGAGCUCUCUAGGGUUCCUGGUGGAGGAUAGGACAGCCACUGGCAGUUGCUGUUUUUUUUUUUUCUUUUGGUACCAGGGAUUGAACCCAGGCGCUUUAAUACUGAGCCACAUCCCCAGCCCUUUUUAUAUUUUAUUUAGAGACAGGGUCUCACCAAGUUGUUUAAGGCCUAAGUUGUUGAGGCUGGCCUUAAACUUGUGAUCCUCCUGCCUCAGCCUCCUGAGAUGCUAGGAUUACAGGUGUGCGCCACCACACCCGGCUUGGCAGUUGCUUUGAAAGGCCCUUUACAGGUUGCACCCCUGAAACAUUUACUGUGUCCAUAGGAAAAUUCCCCAAUCCUUGUGUCCCUGUUGCUGAAGUGCAGUGUGCUCAGGCACUUCCUUCCCUCCUGCUCCCCAACAGUCGUGUAUGCCAGGAGCCAGCACCCCAUCUCUCUCUUUUUUUUGUUUAUUUAUUUAUUUAUUUAUUUAUUUAUAUUUUAGAUGUUGAUGAACCUUUAUUUUAUUUAUUUUUAUGUGGUGCUCAGGAUCGAGCCCAGUGCCUCACACUUGCUAGUCUGGCACUCUACCAUUGAGCCACAACCCCAGCCCCACCCCUGCCUCUCUUCUUCAGACACUAAGCUCCUGACCUCAAGUAUUUAGGGGCUCCACAAACUCUUGCACUCCCUGCUUCCUGAGCAACACAGGGAGGGCUCUAGGCCCAGCUGGGAGGGGCGACAUCCUCCUGCCUUCCUGCCACUCAUCUCUUCAUGGAUCUCCUGGGACUCCCCAUUUGGAUGGGGCCGGAGAAAUGCCCACUCGUGCGUUCCCUCUCCAGGACAGGAAUGCCAUGGUGCUCCCUGCUCCUGUACCUUCCUGUCAAAGGCCUCUUCUCAAAAGACUCACUGACUCUGUAGCCACCUCAUAUGAAAGCCACAGGGAGGAUCUCUGACCACCUCCAGGACGUCAUGAGCCCUUCAGCCUGGAACAUGAAGAUGCCAGUUGCCCACUGCCCCUCGCCCUGGGGUUCUCAGCUGAGAUUUCAAGAUCUUGAAAAAGUCCUGGCGAGGGCUGGGGUUGUGGCUCAGGGGUAGAGCACUCGCUUAGCAUGUGUGAAGCACUGGGUUUAGUUCUCAGCCCCACAUAAAAAUUAAUAAAUUUUUACAACUACAACUGAAAAAAAAAAAAAAGAAAAAAGAAAAAUCCCCGGAGGGUGUAGCUUGCCUAGCAUGUGCAAGACCCUGGGUUCGAUCCCCAGCACUGUCAAAAAAAAGAAGGACGGAAGGAAAGCAGCAUUUUCACCCUUAGCCUGAUAGCUGGUCUACCAUCCUGUAACUGAACUUGUGGAGAAACUUUUGCAUUCCUAGGCCAACCGGAGUCAGGAAAGAAAUAGGACCAGUGAGUGACCCAGAGCUCAAUAAGAAAAAAUUAGUGUAUACCUAAAGAAUUAGGAGGGUAGGACUCUUUUUGCUAUACUCAAGUGGCUUCUAGACUGUCCAGGCCCUGCACCCCUCCGCUGAGGACACACUGGUACCUAGAUGGGUCACAGAGGUUUCGGAGGGGUCAACAGUCCCUGGGAAAUGAAGGGCCAGUAAGGCUUGAAUGCUCUUUUUCUGAUUGCAGAAGGCGCAGGCCCCAGUCCCACCCACAUAGGUGAGCUGGCAGCCAUGGAAGUAGAGUCCACGAGGCUGAACCAGGAGCCCUGGGAGCCAGGAGGGCAGGAGGAAGAAGAGGACGGAGGAGGGCCUCGCCCUGCCUAUCUUAGCCAGGCCACAGAGCUCAUCACCCAGGCCCUGCGGGACGAGAAGGCAGGCGCCUACCCUGCUGCUCUCCAGGGCUACCGAGAUGGUGUGCACAUUCUGCUCCAGGGGGUGCCCAGUGAGUAGGGGCUGGAGGGUAGAGGGUCAGGCCUGGGGUCCUAGAUGGAGCAGUAAGGAGGGGAAAGUGAAAAGCAAGCAAGGACCAGGAGCCUUUCUCCUCACUGCCUGAUGACCAUGUCACUUUGAGAAGAUUAUUUUCCUUCCUCUUGGUGGCUUCAGUUUUCUUUUUAGUAGAAUGGGGAGGAGAGACAUGGUAAGUCCCAGGGAAGGGAGAAGGACACAUGAUGCUGCUCUGUGAACCGUAAGGGCUAGACCAGGGGUUCUGGGCUCAAGUACUCAGCUGAGCCAAUCUCUCCACAGGUGACCCGUCCCCUGCCCGCCGGGAAGGUGUGAAGAAGAAGGCAGCUGAGUACCUAAAGCGGGCUGAAGAGAUUCUACACCUGCACCUGUCUCAACUGCCGCCCUGAGGAGUGGGCCUUCCAUAGGACUCUAGCUCCAGCACUGCCAGCCUCCCCCUCUCCUUCCCCAGCAACCCCAGGGGCCAUUUCUGUACGUAACUGGACCAAGGAACACAAUGGCUCCCUGCCUGCCUGCCUUCUUGGAGUCAGGACUCUAUAUGUGCCAGUAUCUAUCAUGAUGUGGCAGCAGCAGGUCUCGUCAUUAAAACUUGUCAGUUUAGCCAUCUGGAACUGGGGUCUGCAGACUGCAGCCUACAGCCAGAUCUGGCUCAUCACCUACCUUUUUUUUAAGGCCCACAGGCUAGAAUGGUUGCUACAUCUUUUUAAUGGUGUGUGUGAUGGGGAAUCAAAUGAGUAAGAGUCUGUGACUAGUGAAAAUUAAAUGAGGGCUGAGGUUGUAACUCAGUGGUGGAGAGCUUACCUGGCACUUGUGAGGCACUGGGUUCGAUCCUCAGCACCACAUAAAAAUAAAGGUAUUGUGUCCAUCAACAACUAAAAGAAUUUAAAAAAUAAUAAUAAAAUGAAAGUUAAGUGUCUAUGAAUAAAAAUUGUUGGAACAUAACCAGGCUCAACCACAUCUAUGGCUGCAACCAGCAGAUUUGAGUAAGGCGACCAGCAAAUCCCAAAACAGUUUUUCUUUUUUCUCCAUCAUUCUGAGGAUUGAAACCCGGGUCUCAGGCUUUCUAAGCACACCCACUAGAUCUAUCUGUCUGUCUGUCUGUCUUUCUCUCUCUCUUUCUCUAAUGUUUUAGUUGUCAAUGGACCUUUAUUUAAUUUUUAUGCGGUGCUGAGUAUCAAACCCAGUGCCUCACACAUGGUAGGCAAGCGCUUUACUCCUGAGCCACAACCCCAAAACCCCUCUCCGCCUCUUUUCUGUUCUUUUGCGAGUGGGUCUAAGUUGCCCAGGUUGGCCUGGAACUUGUCCUCAUGCCUCAGCCUCCCUCCUCAGGACUGCAUCCUCGGACCGCUGCACCUAUCCCAAGACAUUUUCUACUUGACUCUUUGCAAAAAAAAAAAAAUAAUAAUUGCUGGGAGCCAUUAGCCAAGUAGGUAUGACAAUUUCCUUGCCAGCGUACCCCAUGUUGCUGACAUGUUGCAGUGACAUUAUAUGUAGGUGACCUUGCUCAAGGACCAAGGCAGAUUAGGGUGUUCCCGGUUUUAAGAUAAUCGUGUUUAGGGCGUUCCCAGUUUAGGUUCCAGGUUUAAGGUUUAAGAUUAUUCCUGCUGGGAAUAGGGCGUAUCCUGCUGCCUGAGUUCCCCUUGAGUUCUCACGGGAUUCAGACAGUAUAUUUUGGGAGAUAGAAGCCCAGUGGAGGGGGAUUUGGGCAGAGAACGUGGAUUUGGGAAGAGAACGUGGAUUUCCCCAGAACGUGAUUGUAGACGGCUGGUGUGAGUUCAGGAAUAAAGAGUUGCUGUUUGAAUCUACAAGCUGUGUGGUGGCUCGUGAUUGUGUGCCCAGCCAGACUGUGGCAUUUGUGCCCAGCCAGACUGCGGCAUUUGGCGUCCCGUGCGGGGAACUUCUGAAGCUUAGAGGUAAGUGAAAUUGCUCGCCCCUGAGGAAGAGCGAAAGAAUGGGUGACCAACUCAAAAAACAAUGUGUUAUUGUUUUGAUUUAUCUUGUUUUUGUUUCAAGCUGCCUAUCCCUAGAAAUUUCUCAGGCAAACUGGAAAAAAUGGUUGACUAAAGGUUUGAAGUUUGUCGGCCCUGAGGAAGAGAAAAUUGAUACAACGAUUUUUUAUUCCGUUUUUGUUUCAUUCAGUUUCGGCUUUGUUUUGUGCUAUCUUAUUGGGUUGCGUUAUCUUUAUAGUAGAUUAGAAAUUAGUAAAAAACAAACCGAAAAGAUGUUAAGUAAAUUGUUAGAGGUUCAGACCAUGGAGAAAGACAUUUUAGAUCAAGCAAAAGAGAAGGUCUCUCGAGCUAGUCAGACAGAGGAAGAAAAUUUAAAGGAAAAGGGGUUGUUAGGAAAAAGGCCACAACAGGAGGCUGUUACUAACUCCAUUUUAUCACAAGAGGGCGUAAUUCAACCAACAGCCCCACCGAUGGAGACAGCUGAGUGGCCCUCAAACCCCGUAGUUGAUAAAUGGGAUCCUGAGACAGGACCUCAAAGAUUAGCAUGCCCUGUACUUGAACAGGCAGGAGGGCAGCGAAUUCACCGUGCUUUAGAUUUUAAAACAGUGAAGCAGUUAAAGGAGGCUGUAACAACCUAUGGUCCCCAAGCUCCCUUCACGGUAAGCAUGGUUGAGUCCAUUACUAACUUGGACAUGACGCCAGCAGAUUGGGCUAGCAUGUGUAAAUCUGUACUAAAUGGAGGACAAUAUUUGUUAUGGAAGGUUGCCAAUGAGGAAUUUUGCACGGAGACAGCUAGGCGAAAUGCAGCAGCCGGUUACCCUCAAAGAAAUCUAGAUAUGUUGUUAGGAAAAGGACCUUAUGAGGGUCAACGGCAACAAAUUGAAUAUGAUCCUGCUAUAUAUGCACAAAUUGCUGCAGACGCAGUUAGGGCAUGGAAGACUUUACAAGGACAUGGAGAUUUACAAGGUCAGCUAUCUAAGGUAAUACAGAGAGCUAAUGAACCUUACGCUGACUUUGUAGAUAGGCUAAUUCAAACGGCUGCCAAAAUUUUUGGGGAUACAGAACAAGCAAUGCCAUUAAUAAAACAACUGGCUUAUGACCAAGCAAAUCGUUGCUGCAGAGAGGUUAUUAGACCAUGGAGACAUGAAGAUUUAAACACAUAUAUUAAAUUAUGUAGAGAUAUUAAUGAACAAGGGCAAGUCUUGGCAGCUGCAGUACAACAGGCUUUAGAUGCCAGGCCAAAAACAUGCUAUGAUUGUGAACAAACAGGACAUUUUAAAAGGNAUGUUAUUUUACAGUAUAAAGAUGUUGUAGAUGGUUCUCACAUAGAUUUCAUCAGAUUUCUUAUUGCUUUUGAGCCCAAGGAAUCUCCUAAUUGUUGGGAAAUUAUUUAAUUUCACUAUGUACUCCUGGAGGAAACAAAAUGCUGUCAGAAUAUUAGGAAUUUUCUCUUCUAGGACCAAAAUGGUCUCUAGUAGAAUCACAUCAGCAAGGCUCAGCUGAUUAUCAACACGAAAGUUUUGUCCAUGACCCCUUGAAUCUUUUCAAAAACAGGAAAGUAUCUAAUAGCUUUCUGGGUCUUGUUAACCACUUCUUUUUGUUAAUCAUCUGGUUUUAAGGAUAUAUGCAGGAUGAGCAGUUCCAGGAGAUCCAGUAUACCCUCCACAUUCAUGUCAGUCAAUCACAGUUCUCUUCUUGAAGUCCUUGCAAUAGAGCUGGUGCUUUUCUGCUAUGUAGUGGAGAAAGCUUUGGGUCUGGACUAGCUUAAUACCAUCAGUUUCAACCAUGAGCACUUGUUGGAACAGCAAGUGAUUGCUAUCCUGCAACUUGUGCAACUGUUCUUUUGUGUGCAGACAUUCAUCGUCAAACUCAAUUCCAGUGAGUCAGGUCAUAUAUGAUCACUUACUAUCCAAAAGUUACAUGUUUAAUCUCUUUCAAAAUUCAGAAUUAAAUCAAAAACAGUUUUUCUAAUGAAGAAUCAUUAUUUGCACAACAGGGAGGGCAUUGUUUUGCUCCAAAAUCUUAGAAGUCUGUUCUAGAUUUCCCCUACUGGUUUAUGCUGUACUUUAUCUCUUUUUUUUUGCUACCAAAACUAUGAUUGGAUCUGUUGAAUCAUCAGAAGAGAAGCUCACAUUAAAGGCUGGACUUAUUGUAGAGAUUUCUCUUGCUCUGAUCCCCACUUAGAAACUGAGAGCUUUACACAUGACUUGGUAGCUAAGCUAAAUAACUCACUCCACGUUGCCUUAAAAAUCCAAAAAGUCACUAUGCAUUUUUUUUCCAUAAUAGGUAGUUUCUUGAGAGAGAUAUUUGGACAUGCUCCAGACUACUGAACUCCAAGCAAUUUCCCUGAUGUGUAUGGCCUCUGAAUUUUUGUAGUUUAUUUCCUGACCUUUCAUUCGUAUAUGUCUUUCUAGGGCAUCUUGAUUGCUUUACAUUUUCCACUCAUCAUAUACAAUCAGCAUAAUAUCAUCAACAUUUAGAUUAGUGUGAUGUAGACCAGAUGGAAUGUCAAGAUGAUCAAAAUAGGAGUCUAUGAUAUGACAGAGCAGAGUUGACUUGAUGCAGAGUCUGCAGUGUGCCAAAGUGUACUGUCAGCUUUACAGGUGAAAGCAAACUUCCAGUGCUCAAAGUUUUAGGGAAAAAAAAUCACUAGUAGCAUACUCAAAUGUGAGAAAUUAUGUCAUUUUGCUCCAGAAAAGAUAUUACAAGUGGGAAAGGAGCUACAAUUGUAAUAAACAUUUAAUUAUACUAAUUCAUAGUCAUUCUCCAAUAUUCAUCUGACUUCUACAUAGAAAAAACAGGUGGUGAGGAAUGUGACAGGAAUCACCACUAUUGUAUCUUUUAAAGUUUUGAUGGUGAUGAUAAUCCCUGUAAUUUAUACAGGUACAUGGUAUUGCUUUUAGUUUAUUAGCCUAAAAAAAAAGAGCUUCCACUUGGCCUUUCCUAUGACAAUGCUUCCCACUUUAGCAAAGAGCGAAUAUUGGAAUCCUGCAAAUUUCCAAGUGUAUCUAUUCCAAUUGUAUGUUAAGAAGCUGGGGAUAUCAAUGCAGAGAGCAUGUACCGAGUUGUAGAGAUCAUUGUGAGUCAACAUAGCCUCCUUCUCCAUUCAUUUCCUUGCCACUAUAAACCCUCAAUCUGACUCCUAAGACUGGAGUGAAUUUUUUUAAAUAUUUUUUUUAGUUGUAGAUGGAGACAAUAUCUUUUUUAUUUAUUUAUAUGUGGUGCUGAGGAUCAAGCCCAGUGCCUCACACAUGUGAGGCAGGUGCUCUACUACUGAGCUAUAGCCCUAGCCCCAGAGUAACAUUUUGAGUCUUCAAGAAUCAGUUUUAGUUCAGAGACUGCGUAUAGUAAUACCUGAAACCUUAGUAUCUGCCCCUGAAACUAUACAAUCACCCUGUUAAUGGCCCCAGAUCUUUUGGGCAGAAGGUUUAGUGGAAAAUAUGCAGUGUAUACUGUAGCAGUACUAAAGAAUCUUUCCUCCUAAUAAUUAUGAUAAUCAAAAGAUCUCCUCAAGGGGACCUGAUCUAUUCAAGCAAAUUAAAUACUUGGGUCAGGAAAUUGAGUGAGAGGCAAUGGCUCACCAUUGUGGCAACUCAAGUCAAAGUUUUGAUUAUGAAAACCAGGAGACUUUUUUUCUGUUUAAAAAUCAAGCAAUAUUCAAAUAGGCUACUUAUAUAUUUAAUUCCCAGGGACACUGUGAUGAUUAUUUAUCACCAAAUGUCCCUAUAUGUCAAAAUGUUCUGGGUGUUCAUUAUUCUUUGGAAGUACAGUGCUAGCUUUUAGCCUCCAUUACUUUAGGAUCCCCAGUAUAAUAAUGGAGCCUAUCUUGAUGCCAAUAUUCCAAAAUCUAUGUCCAAAUAUCUGGUUUAGAAAUGAGAAUUAAUACAACUCUCUGUGUGUAUGGUAUUGGGGAUUGAAUCCAGGCCCUCAAACAUGCUAGGCAAGUGCUCUAUCACUGAACCACAUCUCCAGUUCCUUUUGUUUUUCCCAUUUCAUUUUUUGAGAAAGGGUUUUGCUAAGUUGUCCAAUCUGCCUCAAAGUUGUAAUCCUCUGGCUUCAGCCUCUUGAGUUACUGGGAUUACAGGUAUGUGCUGACAUGUUUGGCCAACAGUUAUUUAUUAUUUUAAAAAAGAUUUUUAGUUGUAGAUGAAUACAAUACCAUUUAUUUAUUUAUUUGUUUAUUUAUUUAUGGUUCUGAGGAUCUAACCCAGUGCCUCAUACAUGCGAGGUAAGUGCUCUACUGCCAAGCCACAACCCCAGCCCCCUCAACUGUUAUUUUUAAAGCUCCUCUCACUAAUAUAUUUCAAUGUUGGUGUGUGUGUAUGUAUGCAUGUUGCAUGUAUGUAGACUAUACAUUAUAAAUUCACUCCAAUAUUCUUAUCUUCUUAUGUCUCAUGUUCCUUUCUGUAUAUCUUGCCAAGGAAGCUCUGGCAUAUCAAUCUCAUUAAGCAUAGUCCACUGUUAAGUUCAACUCUCAAUCAACUGACUAAACUGUUAGAACAAUUUAUAGCUACACUUGCCAACACAUCAAAUCUAAUAUCUCUGCUACAUGCACUCAAAUAAAAUCAUUCACCUUGGUUCAGGAUUAUAAUCUGCCCUUCUUGGUAUGACAUCCUUAAAAUUCCGUUCCCAUAUAAAUUCCCUGGAUUCUGCCAAAAUCAUUAGCAGUAUUCUAGAAUUUCUUUGGUGACUAAAUUAAUUCUUUUUGGAUCAUACUUAUAUUUGAUCCUUUGUGGCAAGUUGGGAUUUGAUGCUAAUUGUGGUUCUGGUGUCAAAAGACAGUUGGGGUACACCGUUAGCAUAAUGGGCAUCCCCUAGUGAUGCCUGUCUAUUUCAGGUAAGGUCGUUCUAAAUUUGAAGCCAAUUCUCCUGAUAAGGAAGAUUUGGUGUUUAAAGAUUCUCAAUUUGGUAUGAAUCCAACUAGAUGCUCUCAUUUCAAGAUUCAAGGGCCCAUUUCAUAUGAAACAGUAUCUGCUGGGAGCCAUUAGCCAAGUAGGUAUGACAAUUUCCUUGCCAGCGUACCCCAUAUUGCUGACAUGUUGCAGUGACAUUAUAUGUAGGUGACCUUGCUCAAGGACCAAGGCAGAUUAGGGUGUUCCCGGUUUUAAGAUAAUCUUGUUUAGGGCGUUCCCAGUUUAGGUUCCAGGU